AUGAGAAACUGUAGAACGGACUCGGUUUAUAUCACAAUACCUACAUUUAGAGCCGGUUAUUCAUUCAGUCUAAUGAGAAACUGUAGAACGGACUCGGUUUAUAUCACAAUACCUACAUUUAGAGUCGGUUAUUCAUUCAGUCUAAUGAGAAACUGUAGAACAGACUCGGUUUAUAUCACAAUACCUACAUUUAGAGCCGGUUAUUCAUUCAGUCUAAUGAGAAACUGUAGAACGGACUCGGUUUAUAUCACAAUACCUACAUUUAGAGUCGGUUAUUCAUUCAGUCUAAUGAGAAACUGUAGAACGGACUCGGUUUAUAUCACAAUACCUACAUUUAGAGUCGGUUAUUCAUUCAGUCUAAUGAGAAACUGUAGAACGGACUCGGUUUAUAUCACAAUACCUACAUUUAGAGCCGGUUAUUCAUUCAGCCUAAUGAGAAACUGUAGAACAGACUCGGUUUAUAUCACAAUACCUACAUUUAGAGCCGGUUAUUCAUUCAGCCUAAUGAGAAACUGUAGAACGGACUCGGUUUAUAUCACAAUACCUACAUUUAGAGUCGGUUAUUCAUUCAGCCUAAUGAGAAACUGUAGAACCGACUCGGUUUAUAUCACAAUACCUACAUUUAGAGUCGGUUAUUCAUUCAGUCUAAUGAGAAACUGUAGAACCGACUCGGUUUAUAUCACAAUACCUACAUUUAGAGUCGGUUAUUCAUUCAGUCUAAUGAGAAACUGUAGAACAGACUCGGUUUAUAUCACAAUACCUACAUUUAGAGCCGGUUAUUCAUUCAGUCUAAUGAGAAACUGUAGAACGGACUCGGUUUAUAUCACAAUACCUACAUUUAGAGUCGGUUAUUCAUUCAGCCUAAUGAGAAACUGUAGAACGGACUCGGUUUAUAUCACAAUACCUACAUUUAGAGUCGGUUAUUCAUUCAGCCUAAUGAGAAACUGUAGAACGGACUCGGUUUAUAUCACAAUACCUACAUUUAGAGUCGGUUAUUCAUUCAGUCUAAUGAGAAACUGUAGAACAGACUCGGUUUAUAUCACAAUACCUACAUUUAGAGCCGGUUAUUCAUUCAGCCUAAUGAGAAACUGUAGAACGGACUCGGUUUAUAUCACAAUACCUACAUUUAGAGUCGGUUAUUCAUUCAGUCUAAUGAGAAACUGUAGAACAGACUCGGUUUAUAUCACAAUACCUACAUUUAGAGUCGGUUAUUCAUUCAGCCUAAUGAGAAACUGUAGAACGGACUCGGUUUAUAUCACAAUACCUACAUUUAGAGCCGGUUAUUCAUUCAGUCUAAUGAGAAACUGUAGAACGGACUCGGUUUAUAUCACAAUACCUACAUUUAGAGUCGGUUAUUCAUUCAGCCUAAUGAGAAACUGUAGAACAGACUCGGUUUAUAUCACAAUACCUACAUUUAGAGUCGGUUAUUCAUUCAGUCUAAUGAGAAACUGUAGAACAGACUCGGUUUAUAUCACAAUACCUACAUUUAGAGUCGGUUAUUCAUUCAGUCUAAUGAGAAACUGUAGAACAGACUCAUUGCUGGUCACUAAUUCCUUCCUCUGGCCUAUAUAA
ensembl:lncRNA